GCUGGUUAAUAUCAUAAAAUAAUAUGAACCAUAAUAAUUGAUCACGUUGGAUACAACUAUAUAAUUAAAGAAUACAUCUAACAUAACAGCUGAGUUUGAUUGCUCUUUAUAUUUAUUAUUAUUGUUUAAUAAACUUUAUGCCAGUGGGGUUUGAAGCCAGCUUUGAUGUGGUCCUAUGGUCUAUUAAAUUAUCCUAACUGCUCAACUUUAUUGUAAAGCUCUGAAUCUAAUACAUUAAACUAAGUUUUUAUUUUUAUAUACUUUUCUUCCUCUUCAAUUACUAUUUUCUCUCCUCAAAUUACAUUUUAAAGGGGUAAACUUUUCAAUCUCAAGUCAAAGUGAACUGUUUUGAAGAGUAGAGUUAAUGUACCUCUUUAAAGGCCUUGAUUUGUAAGCUUGUCCUAUAGUUUUAUAUGGGAUGGAAACUGAAAUGGAAGUUAUUGUGCAAUACUAGUUUUGCACUUUGUACUUGCAUAUGAAAGUCACACAUGAUAUAACUUCAUUUCCCACAACACAUUUGCAACAGCAAUAUACAAUAUAGCCUUGUUUUUAGGUUUCAACCACAACACCGCUACUUUGAGAUGAAUAUCCAAUCAGCUACGUCUAUGGCUUUAUCGCCGGUGGUCCUCUCUGAUGAUCUCAUUGCUGAGGUACUUUCGUUUCUCCCCGUUAAAUAUCUUCUUCGAUUCAGGUGUGUCAGUAAGUCUUGGAAAAACCUCAUCUCUGAUCCCGCCUUUGUGAAACUACACCUUAGUAGAUCAGCAACACAAAAUCUGCUCUUCACACUAAUCUCGCACCACAUCACAGAUCUCACACCAGGCGAUUCCUCGGAUGGCAGUGACGAUGUACCUGGGCUGGAUUGCAGCAUCGUUCCUUACUCCAUGCACCAUUUAAUUGAGAAUCCGUCAUUCACCUUUUCCAUCGACCCUUACUAUCAUUUGGUCAACAAAGAUUGCUAUCGUAUGGUUGGCACAUGCAAUGGAUUGAUCUGUUUGAGUGAUUAUUCUGUGACCGAUGAAUAUAGAGAGUACUGGUUUCGUUUAUGGAACCCAGCAACCAGGACAACAUCUGCGAUAUUUGGUCGUUUUCAAGAUUCUGAAACUUUCAGCUAUCAUGGCAAUUUCAACUUCAAGUUUGGUUGUGACAAUUCAACUGAUACUUAUAAGGUGGUGGUGUCCCGUUACCAUCCAAAUCAACAGAGAAGCAUUGUGAGGAUUCUAAGUGUGGGUGAUAACGUUUGGAGAGAUAUUGAAAGUUUUCCUAUUGUUCCUCUUCAUUUGGACUUUGGGGAAUAUUAUUGGAAUGCAGGUGUGUAUUUGAGUGGCACGCUUAAUUGGUUAGCAAUUCACAAUGACAUUCAUUAUAAUAUUAAGGAUAAGAAUAUUACCGUUGAGCAAUUUGUUAUUGUUUCGCUUGAUCUGGGUACAGAGACAUACAAUCAAUACUUGCUGCCUCGUGGUUUUGAAGAAGUGCCACCUACUGAACCAACAGUUGGUGUGUUGGGGGACUGCCUUUGUUUUUCUUAUUCUUACAAGAAAACUGAUUUUGUUUUAUGGCAGAUGAAGAAAUUCGGGGUUGAAGAGUCUUGGACUCCAUUUCUUAAAGUUAGUUACCAGAAUCUUCAAAUAGAUUACAACUUUAGUGACGAUGAGAUGAAGUAUCGUUUUCCUUUGGUGCCGUUGCUUCUUUCUGAUGAUGAUGACACACUGUUACUUAAGAGCAGUCAAGAUUACCAAGCAAUUCUCUAUAAUUUGAGAGAUAAAAGAGUAGAGCGAACAAAAAUGACUGCAAAAAGUACUAUUACCGAUAAUAGAACCAGAAAUUAUAUACAGUGGGUUUCAACCAAGGUUUACGUUGAAAGUUUAGUUUCAACUUUUUGAAACCUUAUCCUCAGGUUGAAGUCGGGAAACUGCUACUGAAUGGUUGCCUUGUCCUCCCAAGUUGCCUUACCAACUGUUCUGUCUUGUCACUGUAUUCGGGCUUGAGGAAAAGAAAAGUUACUGUUAAUGAAGUUGAAGCAUUGCAUGAGCUAUUUAAAAAGAUAAGUAGCUCUGUAAUUGAUGAUGGC